rnacentral:siRNA from 1 species
CCAGUACCUUAGGGCACGUUCCUC